rnacentral:rRNA from 1 species
UACGGAGGGUGCGAGCGUUGUUCGGAAUCACUGGGCGUAAAGCGCGUGUAGGCGGCCCACUAAGUCUGAUGUGAAAGCCCGGGGCUCACCCCCGGAAGUGCAUUGGAAACUGGUGGACUCGAGUCCCGGAGAGGAGAGUGGAAUUCCUGGUGUAGCAGUGAAAUGCGUAGAUAUCGGGAGGAAUACCGAUGGCGAAGGCAGGUCUCUGGGCUGACACUGACGCUCAUGCACGAAAGCGUGGGGAGCAAACAGG